GUAGGGAAUCUUCGGCAAUGGGCGAAAGCCUGACCGAGCAACGCCGCGUGAAUGAUGAAGGCCUUCGGGUUGUAAAAUUCUGUUAUAAGGGAAGAACGACUUUAGUAGGAAAUGGCUAGAGUGUGACGGUACCUUAUGAGAAAGCCACGGCUAACUACGUGCCAGCAGCCGCGGUAAUACGUAGGUGGCGAGCGUUAUCCGGAAUUAUUGGGCGUAAAGAGCGCGCAGGUGGUUGAUUAAGUCUGAUGUGAAAGCCCACGGCUUAACCGUGGAGGGUCAUUGGAAACUGGUCGACUUGAGUGCAGAAGAGGGAAGUGGAAUUCCAUGUGUAGCGGUGAAAUGCGUAGAGAUAUGGAGGAACACCAGUGGCGAAGGCGGCUUCCUGGUCUGUAACUGACACUGAGGCGCGAAAGCGUGGGGAGCAAACAGGAUUAGAAACCCUAGUAGUCC
rnacentral:rRNA from 1 species